UAGUCUCAGUUCAGAUUGCAGGCUGAAACUCGCCUGCAUGAAGUCGGAAUUGCUAGUAAUCGCAGAUCAGCAUGCUGCGGUGAAUACGUUCCCGGGCCUUGUACACACCGCCCGUCACACCAUGGGAGUCGGUAACACCCGAAGCCUGUGGGGUAACCUUUUGGAGCCAGCCGUCUAAGGUGGGACAGAUGAUUGGGGUGAAGUCGUAACAAGGUAUC
rnacentral:rRNA from 1 species